UUCCUACGGGACGCAGCAGUGAGGAAUAUUGGUCAAUGGACGAGAGUCUGAACCAGCCAAGUAGCGUGAAGGGUGACUGCCCUAUGGGUUGUAAGCUUCUUUUAUAUGGGAAUAAAGUUUUCCACGUGUGGAAUUUUGUAUGUACCAUAUGAAUAAGGAUCGGCUAACUCCGUGCCAGCAGCCGCGGUAAUACGGAGGAUCCGAGCGUUAUCCGGAUUUAUUGGGUUUAAAGGGAGCGUAGGUGGACAGUUAAGUCAGUUGUGAAAGUUUGCGGCUCAACCGUAAAAUUGCAGUUGAUACUGGCU
rnacentral:rRNA from 1 species